UAUUACAGUCUCCCUAGAAGCAUUUGACUGCGAAUCUUCUAGGCAAGAAAGGAGCUUGCUUCCUGAGGCAGAGCCCAUUUUUUCCACAGGGAAAGAGGAAUGGCCUGCCCCUCAGUGGCAAGGACAGGUGGGAACCCUAACUUUGCAUUUCUCUGGCCAUGUUGGAAGUUAGAACUGUGGAGCCAUGCUUUCAUAUUUCUGAAAGCAGAGGAUUUGCAGCCAAAAAUUCUACAGGCAGACAAAU